CGGGACACAUUGGGAAACCGAUGCUAAUACCGGAUGUGCCGUGAGGUGAAAGGCUUGCUGCCUGAAGAUGAGCUCGCGUCUGAUUAGCUAGUUGGUAGUGUAAGGGACUACCAAGGCGACGAUCAGUAGCUGGUCUGAGAGGAUGAUCAGCCACACUGGAACUGAGACACGGUCCAGACUCCUACGGGAGGCAGCAGUGGGGAAUUUUCCGCAAUGGGCGAAAGCCUGACGGAGCAAUACCGCGUGAGGGAGGAAGGCUCUUGGGUUGUAAACCUCUUUUCUCAAGGAAGAAGUUCUGACGGUACUUGAGGAAUCAGCAUCGGCUAACUCCGUGCCAGCAGCCGCGGUAAUACGGAGGAUGCAAGCGUUAUCCGGAAUGAUUGGGCGUAAAGCGUCCGCAGGUGGUUGUGUGUGUCUAUUGUCAAAGCAUCAUGCUUAACAUGAUAAGGGCAGUGGAAACUACACAACUAGAGUGCGUUCGGGGCAGAGGGAAUUCCUGGUGUAGCGGUGAAAUGCGUAGAGAUCAGGAAGAACACCGGUGGCGAAAGCGCUCUGCUAGGCCGUAACUGACACUGAGGGACGAAAGCUAAGGGAGCGAAUGGGAUUAGAUACCCCCCCUACCGAGA
rnacentral:rRNA from 1 species